CAGUCGCCGCGGUAAUACAGAGGGUGCGAGCGUUAAUCGGAUUUACUGGGCGUAAAGCGUGCGUAGGCGGCUAAUUGAGUCGGAUGUGAAAUCCCCGAGCUUAACUUGGGAAUUGCAUUCGAUACUGGUUAGCUAGAGUGUGGGAGAGGAUGGUAGAAUUCCAGGUGUAGCGGUGAAAUGCGUAGAGAUCUGGAGGAAUACCGAUGGCGAAGGCAGCCAUCUGGCCUAACACUGACGCUGAGGUACGAAAGCAUGGGGAGCAAACAGGAUUAGAUACCCCAGUAGUCCCUGUCUCUUAUAA
rnacentral:rRNA from 1 species